ACUCCUACGGGAGGCAGCAGUGGGGAAUAUUGCACAAUGGGCGCAAGCCUGAUGCAGCCAUGCCGCGUGUGUGAAGAAGGCCUUCGGGUUGUAAAGCACUUUCAGUUGUGAGGAAGGUGGUGUCGUUAAUAGCGGCAUCAUUUGACGUUAGCAACAGAAGAAGCACCGGCUAACUCCGUGCCAGCAGCCGCGGUAAUACGGAGGGUGCGAGCGUUAUCCGGAUUUAUUGGGUUUAAAGGGUCCGUAGGCGGAUUAAUAAGUCAGUGGUGAAAUCCCAUCGCUUAACGAUGGAACUGCCAUUGAUACUGUUAGUCUUGAAUGAGGGUGCAGUGGUUGGAAUGUGUAGUGUAGCGGUGAAAUGCAUAGAUAUUACACAGAACACCGAUUGCGAAGGCAGAUCACUAACCCUAAAUUGACGCUGAGGGACGAAAGCGUGGGGAGCGAACAGGAUUAGAUACCCUGUAGACUGUC
rnacentral:rRNA from 1 species